GACGGGGGAUGCGAGCGUUAUCCGGAAUGAUUGGGCGUAAAGGGUCCGCAGGUGGCCCGGUCAGUCCGCUGUCAAAGCCUGGGGCUCAACCCUGGAGAGGCGGCGGAGACCACCGGGCUUGAGUCCGGUAGGGGUAGAGGGAAUUUCCAGUGGAGCGGUGAAAUGCGUAGAUAUUGGAAAGACCACCGAUGGCGAAGGCACUCUACUGGGCCAUUACUGACACUGAGAGACGAAAGCUAGGGGAGCAAAUGGG
rnacentral:rRNA from 1 species